AUCCAGCUGACGAUUCCCGAAUAGGACGAAACGCGCAUCCUGGAU
rnacentral:hammerhead_ribozyme from 1 species